UACAGAGGUGGCGAGCGUUGUUCGGAUUUACUGGGCGUAAAGGGCGCGUAGGCGGCCGUGUGUGUCGGGUGUGAAAUCCAUGGGCUCAACCCAUGAAGUGCGCCCGAAACUGCACGGCUCGAGUUCGGGAGGGGGGAUCGGAAUGCAGGGUGUAGCGGUGAAAUGCGUUGAUAUCCUGCAGAACACCGGUGGCGAAGGCGGAUCCCUGGAACGAAACUGACGCUGAGGCGCGAAAGCAGGGGGAGCAAACAGG
rnacentral:rRNA from 1 species